UACGAAGGGGGCUAGCGUUGUUCGGAAUUACUGGGCGUAAAGCGUAUGCAGGCGGACUUUUAAGUCGGGGGUGAAAUCCCGAGGCUCAACCUCGGAACUGCCUUCGAUACUGGAAGUCUUGAGUCCGGGAGAGGUGAGUGGAACUCCGAGUGUAGAGGUGAAAUUCGUAGAUAUUCGGAAGAACACCAGUGGCGAAGGCGGCUCACUGGCCCGGUACUGACGCUGAGGUGCGAAAGCGUGGGGAGCAAACAGGG
rnacentral:rRNA from 1 species